UGAAAUAAAUUCCAUAUCCAACAACCACUCGUUGUGUUACCUCUAUAUAUACAAUCUUUGCAAACAUAAAUUGAUCUCGGAACUACAUGAUUGGGUCUGCGGCGUUUUAUUCCAAUAUACAAUGUACGUGUUACCUCACCUGUACAAAUGCUUGUCUUUGACCUGGAUGUAUCCUCUCACUAGGGUAAAGGGACAUACAUAAACACUGGCAUUUCACACUGUGACAUAUCCGGAUAAAUCUAACAUUUAAAACAUUUAAAAAAUGGAUUUUUAUGUGAUCAUUUCGUCGGAUGAUCUUGGUGGAUUGAUUUGUGAGUAAAGUUCCGAAUACCUCCGCAAUGUUAUAACUGUCCUCGUGUUUUUCCAUGCCACAAGGUGUACACAAAACUGAACAUCAUAGUGACAGGUCAUCAUCUGGGAGAGAAACGCUCGCCACACACGCCUCGUCUGGCUUCCGGUUAUGGCGUUCUACAACAGCGCCGUCUGUCGGAUGAUCAUUUGAAAAUGGAGUGACACGCACACCGUCACGUGAUCUCAUGGAGGGAUCCUCGUCAAAGUAGUUGUAGGGCAUGAUAAAGAGAGACAGAUGCGUUCCCACCGUACCUGUGUUGGGAACAUUUUCUAUCUGCGGGAUAUGUUGUGUUCCGAGGGUGACCCAGGCAACAAUAUCCUAAAAAAGAAAUGAAUUUUUGGUCUGUGUCAGGAUUUAAAAAAAAUAAUUUCGAUGAUUUGGACGUUUCUUUCAAAAAUUUAAAACUUUCACUCCUAAUUGACAUAUCAAGAAACUUUGACCUUUAAUUAAGGACAAUAUUCUUAGUAUUAUUUUUAAUGCAAGCAUCACUAGUUACUUUGUGAAUAUGUUCUGACUUCAACAACCAGGAUAAUAUUGUUGAUCCUCAAAGGUAGCAUUCUUAGUAUGAUUAAGGAUUAGGAGAUGAAUUGCGGACAAAUUGUUCAUAUCUGUACAGUUGUAUACAACUAAUGGAUGACUUUAACAUCAUAUCAGUUUAUUUUGCUGUAGUGUAUCAGAAGGCAUGGUAAAAUCAAUGCCUCUGCUGGGGACAGACCCGUGACCUCAGGAUUAUUAGUCUUGUGCUCAGUAAAUCAAGCUGAAGAGAAGUUCUCUCUAGCUGAGCGGUAUAUUGUUAUUAGUAUUUAGCAGAAUUACAAUAAAUUAUAACAAAAAAUAAAAGAAUGAACCUACCUCUCC